rfam:Schistosoma haematobium scaffold430_41, whole genome shotgun sequence.
AUCCAGCUGACGAAUCACAAACAGGAAGAAACGUAAGUCCUGGAU